AAGGCUUUAUCUUAAUAAAAGUAUUUGAUUUGCAGUCAGAAGAUGAGGGUUAGUUUCCUCAGGCCUUA
rnacentral:tRNA from 1 species